rnacentral:rRNA from 1 species
GACGGAGGAUGCAAGCGUUAUCCGGAAUGAUUGGGCGUAAAGCGUCCGCAGGUGGCAGUUCAAGUCUGCUGUCAAAGACCGGGGCUUAACUUCGGAAAGGCAGUGGAAACUGAACAGCUAGAGUAUGGUAGGGGCAGAGGGAAUUCCUGGUGUAGCGGUGAAAUGCGUAGAUAUCAGGAAGAACAUCGGUGGCGAAGGCGCUCUGCUGGACCAUAACUGACUCUCAGGGACGAAAGCUAGGGGAGCGAAUGGG